GCAACAACUUUGAUGCUUUACGUGCUCAUAUAUUUUUUUCUCUGAGUUUAGGGAAAAAAUGUAGUGAUCACUAAAAACAAAACAGAGCUCACUUUCUUAAUGGGCUUUCAAAUUGGGAUAAUAGGAUGAAGCCAGAGACUUAAAAAUAUAACUGGGCUUCAUCCAACACACCUGACAGACAAAUCCCUGGGUCCAAAAUGGCUCAUUGGGGUCAGGCAUGGUGGCUCAUGCCUGUAAUCCCAACACUUUGGGAGGCUGAGGUGGGGAGGAUCACUUAGGCUCAGGAGGUUGAGGCUGCAUGAGCUGUGAUUGCGCCACUGCACUUCAGCCUAGGCAAUAAAGUGAGACUCUGUCUCAAAAAAUAAAAUAUAUUAACUGAAUAAAUUUUUUUUUUUUUUGAGAAGGAAUAUCGCUGUGUUGCCCAGGGCCUUCCCGUCUCGCGGUCCGGCCUCCCUCACCCGGAAGUGCUGGUCCCGGUACUGGCUCAGCUCCACGUAGGAGUCGCUGCGCAGCGCCUUCAGGAGGCCACCCGACAUAGUGCAGAGAAGCGGACGAGAAUGCAGCGAC
rnacentral:antisense_RNA from 1 species